rnacentral:tmRNA from 1 species
GGGGGUGAUCGGUUUCGACGGUGAUCGUCGAGCCAGGAGAAGCGGGCCGAGGACACACGGUUAUCUCGCUAACGCUCCGUGUAAACCCAUAGGUGCCGAUAACAAGCGCACCGACUUCGCCCUCGCCGCCUGAGCGAGCCUCGAAGUCCGUCAGCCUGAGCUAGCUCCCGUCUCAGAUCCUGGCGUCAUCUAGGGAGCCACUGCUCGCAGUCCUCGUCACCGGGGCUGCGGGGACUUUCAGGUGACUGAGCCUGUCCACCACUCGUCUGCGUGAUGGUGGGGGCCGAGAAAAGCGCAGCAGACUGCGCCCGGAGAAGUCCUGGUUCCACGUCAUCGGACGCGGGUUCGAUUCCCGCCACCUCCACCA